CAGCCGCCGCGGUAAUACGGAGGGUGCAAGCGUUAAUCGGAAUUACUGGGCGUAAAGCGCACGCAGGCGGUCUGUCAAGUCGGAUGUGAAAUCCCCGGGCUCAACCUGGGAACUGCAUUCGAAACUGGCAGGCUAGAGUCUUGUAGAGGGGGGUAGAAUUCCAGGUGUAGCGGUGAAAUGCGUAGAGAUCUGGAGGAAUACCGGUGGCGAAGGCGGCCCCCUGGACAAAGACUGACGCUCAGGUGCGAAAGCGUGGGGAGCAAACAGGAUUAGAUACCCGUGUAGUCCCUGUCUCUUAUAA
rnacentral:rRNA from 1 species